rnacentral:rRNA from 1 species
GUACACUCCUGCGGGAGGCAGCAGUGGGGAAUUUUGGACAAUGGGCGAAAGCCUGAUCCAGCAAUGCCGCGUGAGUGAAGAAGGCCUUCGGGUUGUAAAGCUCUUUUGUCAGGGAAGAAACGGUGAGAGCUAAUAUCUUUUGCUAAUGACGGUACCUGAAGAAUAAGCACCGGCUAACUACGUGCCAGCAGCCGCGGUAAUACGUAGGGUGCAAGCGUUAAUCGGAAUUACUGGGCGUAAAGCGUGCGCAGGCGGUUUUGUAAGUCUGAUGUGAAAUCCCCGGGCUCAACCUGGGAAUUGCAUUGGAGACUGCAAGGCUAGAAUCUGGCAGAGGGGGGUAGAAUUCCACGUGUAGCAGUGAAAUGCGUAGAUAUGUGGAGGAACACCGAUGGCGAAGGCAGCCCCCUGGGUCAAGAUUGACGCUCAUGCACGAAAGCGUGGGGAGCAAACAGGAUUAGAUACCCGAGUAGUCCCAUGAU